GAGAGAAGCGAUCAUUCGAAUGAUGUCAAGUUUGAGUCGAUACACAGAGAACUAUUAUGAAAACAUUAAGAGGUAAGUCCACGUCAGAAUCACGCUUCUUUAUUUCUAAAGAAGGGAUCGUUAUUUGAUUAUGAUGUUUUGUACCGAAACGAAUUGUACCUCGGCAUGUGAUAGGAGUUGGUUCUUGGUUGCUGAAUGCCUUCAAGAUUAGCGUAGUCCAUGAUGAUGUAUGAUAUUUUACUGUAUAAAACCGCUUUCUAAACUCUGCUAGUCACAGUAUUAUUUGUAAACAAGGCAGUUUGCAAGAAUGUAUUAAGAAACAGACAAAUAAAAAUGUAACUUAUA